rnacentral:rRNA from 1 species
GACGAACCGUGCGAACGUUAUUCGGAAUCACUGGGCUUAAAGCGCGUGUAGGCGGGCCGCCACGUCAGAUGCUGAAAUCCCCCGGCUCAACCGGGGAAGUGGCUCUGAUACGAGCGGCCUGGAGGGAGGUAGGGGGGGGCUGGAACUUCCGGUGGAGCGGUGAAAUGCGUUGAGAUCGGAAGGAACGCCCGUGGCGAAAGCGAGCCCCUGGACCUUUUCUGACGCUGAGCACGCGAAAGCUAGGGGAGCGAACGGGG